rnacentral:lncRNA from 10 species
AGGAAGACCCUGGCCUCCAUCUUGAAAACGGAAAAUAAAAACAGCAGACCUAUGAAGGUCGAAGGGGAAGAAAAGCUGUAUCGAUUGUUGAGAUCUGGCGACUUGUUUAAAUUUCAUCAGCCUCACUUCUAUGAACUCUCAGGGUCCUCGUAAGAACUUCCAUUUUAUGUUCUUGUCUUCUCAUCAGUUUGAGUUGUGUCUUUAACAUUGGAGAGAAAAACAACUUGCAAGAUUUUCUUUCAGUAUGAACCAUUCUGAGGUCCUUCAAUUCUUUAGCUGAUUACCAACUCCUACCACUGUUAACCCUCAUCCAGGAACAAGCUUAUGUCUUUAACAUUCUGAGUGGGCUUCAGCAUCCUUGCAUAUGUUCAAUUCUUAAAAACCUGUUGAAAUAAAAGAUCAGGAGACAUAGGAAGGAUGCCAGAAGAGAGCGUGGCCUCACGUGUACCAGCUCUCUGCUCUCCUUUGCCUUGGGACGUUCCAUCCCUGGAAGUUUCCCUGCCCACAUCUUUGUAGAGAGUCCAUUCUCCAAGCUUCAGUGUGUCAUCUGUGAGGACCGUGACCCACCUGGUACAUCGCCUCAGGGCAUUCAUUUCAGGCUCCUUCUAAAUGGCCAAGAGACAACACCAACAUUUUUGUAAUGGCCUGCAAGGCCUUCCGAGAUCUACCUCCUGCAACUCAGCUUCUCCUGUGCUCUCCUUCUGGACUCACUCUGCCUCAGCAACACUGGUCCCUGUUGCCCCACCAAUAUGCCAGGUAAACCUCAGGUUCUCCUCCUGCCUUUUGCUAAGUAUAUGUCUUGAUGACAAGCCUUCUGCUGAUGAGCUGUGUUUCUGG